AUUAAAACUAGCAGCAAGCUAUCUGUGAAAAUGCUUUCUGAUAUGUGGAUUUGUCUCACAAACUUAAAUCUUUGUUUUGAUUCAGCAGGUUGGCAACACUCUUUUUGUACAACCUAGGAGGGGACCUUUUGGAGCUCACUGAGGCCUAUAGUGAAAAAAUGAAUAUUUCAAGAUAAAAACUAGAAACAAGCAAUAUUUGAAAAUGCUUGGCAGUGGGUGGAUUCAUCUCACAGAGGCAAACCUUUAUAUUGAUUCAGCACGUUGGAAACACUCUUUUUAAAGAGUCUACAAGAGGACAUUUUGGAGCCCACUGACAAGUAUAUUGAAAAACUGAAUAUGCCACGAUACAUACUAGCAACAACCUAUUAGUGAAAAUGCUUUGUGAUGUGUGGAUUCAUCUCAUAAAGUUAAACCUUUAUUAUCAUUCAGUAGGUUAAGAACACUCUUUAUGUAGCAUAUAAAAAAAAGACAUUUUUGUGAACAUUGAGGACUAAAGUAAAACACCAAAUAUUUCACAGUAAAAACUAAAAACUGUCUGUCUGUGAAAAUGCUUUGUGAAGAGUGGAUUUAUCUCACAGAGUUAAACCUUUUUUUUGAUUCAACAGGAUGAAAACACCUUUUUUGUAGAAUCUAUGAAGGGACAUUUUGGAGCCUAUUGUGGACUAUACUGAAAAACCUAAUAUCCCAGCAUAAAAACUAGAAAGAAGCUAUCUUUGCAAAUGGUUUGCUAUGUGUGGAUUCAUCUUACAGAGAUAAACCUUUUUGUAUCAGUUAAACCUUUUUUUUAUUCCCUGCAAGUUGGAGUCCUCCCACCUGACCACGGGGCCAUGUUGUGGACAGCUUGUGCAAUGAAGGGAAUGCAAGAAUGGAGUUGGAAGCACUUCCUGUGUCAUCUGUCUGCACCUUUUUUUGCAGAUGAAGGUGUAGGACCCCAUCCACACCUCAGCAGACUGGAUUUCGUGGUUUAUUCCUGGGGCUCCACUUGAUGUUUCUUCAGGCUGGCUCACCACUGCCCACUCCUAGGAUUGUGGGAAUAUCCCAUAGAGCCCUCAGAGUAGACAGGUAAGAGUUCAAUGCUGACACAUAUCCACAGAGGACUCCUUCUCCGCCAAGAUGAAGGGACUUGUCACCAGGCAAUGGUGGCUUCACUGUGACGUGAGACGCUGCUCACCACUGGUGCCUGGUGGCCUGACGGUCACAUGUGCAUUCACCAAGCAGGCUCAGGCACCUAGCUGUCAGGGCUUAAGCCUGGCAAAGCUCAGGAAAAUGGUACAGCCAGAGCUGGCCUAGUCUCCAGAAAAAGGCUACCUGCAGCAACCCACUGCAGCAUGCUAAUAGUCUCGAACAUAGGGCCUUCAUGAGCCAUCUUCGUGGUAGGGUCCCACAGGAGAAGGAGGAGUUUGAAGACUGUGAGGUGGGCUCUGGAGACUGCUCUUCUGACUCCAUUCCCAAAAGAGGCUGCGUGCAUGAAUUGGGUCUCCUGGGGAUGGGAAUAAAGUCUGGUGAGUUGUUAAGAGGUCUCUGGGUGAUGGAAUGAUAUCUGAGAUCCAAGAGGGAGGUGUCAGUGGAAGAUGGCCAGGCCCUUGAACCCCCUGCCUUCCUUUAUCCCGGGCCUCACAGGGGCUCCUGCUUCUCAGCACGGCUCUCUGGGAAAGGCAGGAACCAUGACAAAGGCAAGUACAAGGUGGAGCAGUGAACUCACACCUAAAACAGGCCUCUCACAGGUGCACAUGAGGUUGAGAGUGUCUCAGAGGCUGUCCGGG
rnacentral:lncRNA from 1 species